rnacentral:lncRNA from 1 species
AUACAUAAUAAAAUAAAAAUAUAGAGCAAGAUGAACUUAUCGAAUUUGACUGAGACGUGCAAAUGCACUGGGUUUAAGAGUAUUUCGCCACCACGGGUAAGUUACCCGGUGCAGUUGGUCACAUAGCUAAUACCCUCCAGGAUACAACAGUCACAUCUUGCUAGCACUGCACGUGAAUUAGCAAGGUCUCAUAGAACUACUUUUUGGAUGCUCAUGGGAACUUAGUAUUAUUAUAUAUUUUACUUGUGUCACUUAGUUUCCCUGUUCUUCGCUCCCUCGUAUCUAUAUGCUUCUUCUAUGUUAUUAUUAUGUUCACUCCCUCCUCUUAGCCAAGCCACCCCAUGUAUAUAUACUCAUGACUAUCUUCUAAUAAACCAAUUUGACGUUAACAAAUUAUUAUAUAAGCUAAACUGAAAAAUCCUAUUAAUUAUGAUUGAAUUAGUUAGUUGUGCACAAGUAAAUAGGAACGGCAUUUUGACCAAGCAAUAAAAAUAAGUAACGUGCAUUAUUAUUAAUAAUUAAAAAAUAAUGAUUCUUAAACUUAAAAAUAAAUUUCAUAUAAAAUAUCUUACA